UACGCGUUAGUUAAAUGGUAUAAUGAUGUGCUACGGACACAGUGUUAUAGGUUCGAAUCCUGUACGCGUAU
rfam:Diaporthe ampelina DA_912_scaffold_v01_2357, whole genome shotgun sequence.